rnacentral:lncRNA from 1 species
GCACCAGAAGUAAGUAAAAUAAGGGUUACUUGAACACAAACACCGCAGUACUGUGGCAGUACAUCUGAUAACCAAGAUGGCAACUAAGUGACCAACAGUUGGGCAGCAUGUAUGGUGUGGAUUCACAUCCCGGAUGGGAUAAACUGAGGUAGAGCAGAAUUUCAUCACACUACUCAAAAUGAUAUGCAUUUAAAACUUACUGUUUAUUUCUGGAAUUUUCCAUGUAAUAACACUAUUCGGAAUGGUAUAUAUCUGAAACUUAUGAAUUGUUUAUUUCCAAAAUUCUCCUCGUAAUAUUUCUAGAUCUAGGUUGGCCAAGAGUAACUGAUGCUAUACAAAGUAACACUUCAAAAGGAAAGAGUGCUGCUAUAUUCCAUUUUGUGUAGUUCAAUCUCAAACUCUUAUCUAAACUGAGAAUAACUUUUUGAUGUGAUAGAUUGACUACCUAAACCUGUCUCAAGUUCAUUUAAUGAAAUUGAAGGCACAUGAAGUACCUUAGCCCAGUGUCAUCAAUGUGCUCUGUGGCCUGGUCCCUGUGGGUAUGCAUGCAUGUCACUGGGUACAUGUUUUCCUUCAGUAAUUCGUUCCAUUCGGCUGAGGCACAGGCCUGGGCAUCACAGACUGCAUCUUCUCGCCAUGUUGGUCUGAGAUGUGAGAGACAAGCGUGUUUUCUCUGGGUCACCAUCAAAGUGUCUUCACCAUGCCAUCUGUUUGGAAUGAAUAAAAUUCUGACAGUAUACCAAGUGGUAACUGCUGCUCAAAAUAACAUUGUAGCUAAAGGUAAGAACUUAUAGAUGUCCAACAGUAAUGUAAGGGGCAAUAUAAAUAUAGCACAUUUAUUAUUCAGAUGCUCAAGUCUGUGUGUUACUGAAAAUCUAACUUUGGUGGAUACAUACCUCUGCAUAAUAUGAAAAUCAAUUUGUAGGACAAUGAUUGACAUUAGCUUUGUUUUUUG